UGCAGUUGCAGGCUUUUGUCUCAGCUUCAUCUUCCUGAACACCCAUCUCAGCCUCCUCGGUUUCUAUAUAAAGAUUUGAUCAACACACAAAAGUGAAGAGCUUUCUAAUCCAACUGAACCAGGACCUCCUCUUGGCCAUAACGUCACGUGCUUUUGGCUCGGGAGCAGCUUUUAGAGGCCGGCGACAGGGGCCCAAAGAGCAACACCCUCUCAAACCGAGAAAACACCCCCUCUCUCCCCAACCCGCUGCUCGAACAUGGGACCUUGAGGUAGGAGCAACUUUUUUCUCCAUACCCCUGUACCACUCGGCCACCGCAAAGUUGGGUAUCAGAGGUCUUGCUACUACCAGGUAAGCAAAACCGAAUCGAAAAUUUCGAGGAAAUCUACUUGAGCAUUCAUCAAAGAAAGAAAGCCCUGAUUCUUACUUGAGGUUUAUUCGUGAUUCAUACCAUGCCUGUAAGAAAAGGUAAGUUUUUGAUUGAGUGAUCGAGAAAACAAAAAUUUGAGAGAAGACCCAUUAAAGAACAUCAAGGGAUCCAAAAUGGGUUCGGUUAAA